rnacentral:rRNA from 1 species
AACGAACGCUGGCGGCAUGCCUAACACAUGCAAGUCGAACGAGACCUUCGGGUUUAGUGGCGCACGGGUGCGUAAAGCGUGGGAACCUGCCCUUAGGUUCGGAAUAACUCCCCGAAAGGGGUGCUAAUACCGGAUAAUAUCUUCGGACCAAAGAUUUAUCGCCUUUGGAUGGGCCCGCGUUGGAUUAGCUAGUUGGUAGGGUAAAAGCCUACCAAGGCGACGAUCCAUAGCUGGUCUGUGAGGAUGAUCAGCCACACUGGGACUGAGACACGGCCCAGACUCCUACGGGAGGCAGCAGUGGGGAAUAUUGGACAAUGGGCGAGAGGCUGAUCCAGCAAGGCCGCGUGAGUGAUGAAGGCCUUAGGGUUGUAAAGCUCUUUUAACCGGGAUGAUAAUGACAGUACCGGGAGAAUAAGCUCCGGCUAACUCCGUG